rnacentral:pre_miRNA from 1 species
GGUUUAAUGGUGGAACAUGGAAAGUGGUGUGGUAGCCGGGGGUUUGAGGUUGGGCGGGUUCAGGAAGGCGGCUUUUAUAUUCAUUAGUAACCCUAGCUUUCCGAAUCCGCCUAUACCUGAUACUUCCGGCUUCUAUCCCCUCUUCAUAGUCCACCCGAGCU